CUCUAUUUGAUUGACGACUGUUCUACUAGAGUUUGGUGUAUGGUUUGGUUCAUGUCUUUACACUCGAGUGUUUUCCGUAUUAUUCUAUAAUUCAUUAAAAUGCUUACUGUUCGUGUUUUACUUUUCCUUUGCAUAUCUUUAAUACUGAUCAUAAUACAAACCUCAAAUGGGCGAAUAGUGUACUCGAGGAUACCCCAAUACGAUCCGUACAGUAACUCAAAUGCCAAUUACGCCCGUCGAGGAGGAGGUGAAGGAGGUGCAAUAGCAGCAGCAAGCAGCGGAAGCGGAGGAACGGCGAGAUACAGCCAUGGACAUGGACAUGCAACUUCAUAUCAAAAUUUCGUACUUCAUAGUUACCAUCCUGUGAAAGUUUACCUGAAAAAACACCAUCAUCAUCAUGAUUAUAACUAAGUUUUGUACUUACGGAUUUCAUUAAUUUAUUUAAAUCUAAUUUUAACGUAAUAUAAAUUUAGUCGCAUCAUU